UUUCAUCCACAUUUAUUUUAAACAGACAGAGGCAGAUGCACACAAGCUCACAGAGCGAAUGAGAGAUACUAGCCCAGGCUUGUUCUCUCAGC